rnacentral:rRNA from 1 species
UACGGAGGGUGCAAGCGUUGCUCGGAAUUACUGGGCGUAAAGCGCGUGUAGGCGGUUUCGUAUGUCUGAUGUGAAAUCCCCGGGCUCAACCCGGGAAGUGCAUUGGAAACUGCGAGACUAGAGUCCCGGAGAGGAAGGUGGAAUUCCAGGUGUAGCGGUGAAAUGCGUAGAUAUCUGGAAGAACACCGGUGGCGAAGGCGGCCUUCUGGACGGUGACUGACGCUGAGACGCGAAAGCGUGGGGAGCAAACAGG